rnacentral:misc_RNA from 1 species
GGAAGGAUCAUUACCCAAAGGCUGCCCAAAACUUGGGCGCGCCUUUACCCUAUACCCUUGUGUUUGCUGACCACUUGUCCUGUCUCUUCGGCUUAGGGCGACUCCGGCCGAAGGGGCACCCUGAUAAACCUCUUGUCGAAAGCCGUUUUCUUUCUGAUUGUGGGAAACAACGAACCGAUAAUACAACUUUCAACAAUGGAUCUCUUGGCUCUGGCAUCGAUGAAGAACGCAGCGAAAUGCGAUAACGUAGUGUGAAUUGCAGACUCCAGUGAAUCAUCGAAUCUUUGAACGCACAUUGCGCCCCCUGGUAUUCCGGGGGGCAUGCCUGUUCGAGCGUCAUUGACACCCUCAAGCCUGUGCUUGGUGUUGGGCGGCUGCCCCCCUCCUCUGCUGGGGGACUCGCCUCAAAGUCAUUGGCAGCCCGCUGUCCCGCUCUCCCGCGCCGUAGCUUUGCGCGCACUUGGGGGGAGGAAAACUGGGGCGGUUGCGGCAUCCAGCAAGCGCGUCCGUUGUGGACCCACAGCUUGACCUCGAAUCAGGUAGGGAUACCCGCUGAACUUAAGCAUAUCAAUAAGCGGAGGAAAAGAAACCAACAGGGAUUGCCCUAGUAACGGCGAGUGAAGCGGCAACAGCUCAAAUUUGAAAUCUGGCUUCCCGUGCUCGGGGGGCCCGAGUUGUACUUUGCAGAGGGUGCUUUGGCGUUGGUGGCGGUCUAAGUUCCAUGGAACUGGUCAUCACAGAGGGUGAGAGUCCCGUAUGUGGUCGCCCGCCUUCGCCGUGUAAAGCCCCUUCGACGAGUCGCGUUGUUUGGGAAUGCAGCGCAAAAUGGGAGGUAAAUUUCUUCUAAAGCUAAAUACCGGCCAGAGACCGAUAGCGCACAAGUAGAGUGAUCGAAAGAUGAAAAGCACUUUGGAAAGAGAGUCAAAUAGCACGUGAAAUUGUUGAAAGGGAAGCGCUUGCAGCCAGACGUGCCUGUGGAGGCUCAGCCGGGUGCGCCCAAAACGCGCCCGGUGCACUCUUCCGCGGGCAGGCCAGCAUCAGUUUGGGCGGCUGGAGAACGGCCUCUGUCACGUAUCUCCGACCCCUUCGGGGGGGAUGGCCUUAUAGGGGAGUCCUGGCAGCCCGCCCAGACUGAGGAAAUGUCCGCGCCUUUGUGGCUAGGAUGCUGGCGUAAUGGCUAUAAGCGGCCCGUCUUGAAACACGGACCAAGGAGUCUAACAUCUAUGCGAGUGUUUGGGUGCCAAGCCCGGGCGCGCAAUGAGAGUGAACGGAGGUGGGAGCCUUUUGCCCCUUGGGGCCUUGGGCGCACCAUCGACCGAUCCUGAUGUCUUCGGACGGAUUUGAGUACGAGCAUAGCUGUUGGGACCCGAAAGAUGGUGAACUAUGCUUGAAUAGGGUGAAGCCAGAGGAAACUCUGGUGGAGGCUCGCAGCGGUUCUGACGUGCAAAUCGAUCGUCAAAUUUGGGCAUAGGGGCGAAAGACUAAUCGAACCAUCUAGUAGCUGGUUCCUGC